GAUGAACGCUGGCGGCGUGCCUAAUACAUGCAAGUCGAGCGAACAGAUAAGGAGCUUGCUCCUUUGACGUUAGCGGCGGACGGGUGAGUAACACGUGGGUAACCUACCUAUAAGACUGGAAUAACUCCGGGAAACCGGGGCUAAUGCCGGAUAACAUGUUGAGCCGCAUGGUUCUACAGUGAAAGGCGGCUUUGCUGUCACUUAUAGAUGGACCCGCGCCGUAUUAGCUAGUUGGUGAGGUAACGGCUCACCAAGGCAACGAUACGUAGCCGACCUGAGAGGGUGAUCGGCCACACUGGAACUGAGACACGGUCCAGACUCCUACGGGAGGCAGCAGUAGGGAAUCUUCCGCAAUGGGCGAAAGCCUGACGGAGCAACGCCGCGUGAGUGAUGAAGGUCUUCGGAUCGUAAAACUCUGUUAUUAGGGAAGAACAAAUGCGUAAGUAACUGUGCGCGUCUUGACGGUACCUAAUCAGAAAGCCACGGCUAACUACGUG
rnacentral:rRNA from 1 species